ACGCUAGCUACAGGCUUAACACAUGCAAGUCGAGGGGCAGCAUUUCAGUUUGCUUGCAAACUGGAGAUGGCGACCGGCGCACGGGUGAGUAACACGUAUCCAACCUGCCGAUAACUCGGGGAUAGCCUUUCGAAAGAAAGAUUAAUACCCGAUGGCAUAAUUAGACCGCAUGGUCUUAUUAUUAAAGAAUUUCGGUUAUCGAUGGGGAUGCGUUCCAUUAGGCAGUUGGUGAGGUAACGGCUCACCAAACCUUCGAUGGAUAGGGGUUCUGAGAGGAAGGUCCCCCACAUUGGAACUGAGACACGGUCCAAACUCCUACGGGAGGCAGCAGUGAGGAAUAUUGGUCAAUGGACGAGAGUCUGAACCAGCCAAGUAGCGUGAAGGAUGACUGCCCUAUGGGUUGUAAACUUCUUUUAUAUGGGAAUAAAGUUUUCCACGUGUGGAAUUUUGUAUGUACCAUAUGAAUAAGGAUCGGCUAACUCCGUGCCAGCAGCCGCGGUAAUACGGAGGAUCCGAGCGUUAUCCGGAUUUAUUGGGUUUAAAGGGAGCGUAGGUGGACAGUUAAGUCAGUUGUGAAAGUUUGCGGCUCAACCGUAAAAUUGCAGUUGAUACUGGCUGUCUUGAGUACAGUAGAGGUGGGCGGAAUUCGUGGUGUAGCGGUGAAAUGCUUAGAUAUCACGAAGAACUCCGAUUGCGAAGGCAGCUCACUGGACUGCAACUGACACUGAUGCUCGAAAGUGUGGGUAUCAAACAGGAUUAGAUACCCUGGUAGUCCACACAGUAAACGAUGAAUACUCGCUGUUUGCGAUAUACAGUAAGCGGCCAAGCGAAAGCAUUAAGUAUUCCACCUGGGGAGUACGCCGGCAACGGUGAAACUCAAAGGAAUUGACGGGGGCCCGCACAAGCGGAGGAACAUGUGGUUUAAUUCGAUGAUACGCGAGGAACCUUACCCGGGCUUAAAUUGCAUUUGAAUAAUCUGGAAACAGGUUAGCCGCAAGGCAAAUGUGAAGGUGCUGCAUGGUUGUCGUCAGCUCGUGCCGUGAGGUGUCGGCUUAAGUGCCAUAACGAGCGCAACCCUUAUCUUUAGUUACUAACAGGUCAUGCUGAGGACUCUAGAGAGACUGCCGUCGUAAGAUGUGAGGAAGGUGGGGAUGACGUCAAAUCAGCACGGCCCUUACGUCCGGGGCUACACACGUGUUACAAUGGGGGGUACAGAAGGCAGCUACCUGGUGACAGGAUGCUAAUCCCAAAAACCUCUCUCAGUUCGGAUCGAAGUCUGCAACCCGACUUCGUGAAGCUGGAUUCGCUAGUAAUCGCGCAUCAGCCAUGGCGCGGUGAAUACGUUCCCGGGCCUUGUACACACCGCCCGUCAAGCCAUGAAAGCCGGGGGUACCUGAAGUACGUAACCGCAAGGAGCGUCCUAGGGUAAAACUGGUAAUUGG
rnacentral:rRNA from 1 species